rnacentral:lncRNA from 1 species
UUGAUCAGAGAGGGGAUGGUUAGGGCUUCUUUUUCUCGUAUUGUCCGGCCGAACUUUGUCGUGUUUGGACCUGCUUAUCUCCUUCUUCCAUUUUAUUAUUUCUAUUUUUUUGAGGAGUCAAUAGGCACAGUGUGGCUGAAGGAAUUUAUUGCUGAGUAGAGUAGAGAGAGUUUAUAUGGAGAGGAAGAGGAAAAGAAAGAAGAGAAAGAAAACCAAAAAAAAAAAAGUAACAAGACAACCGGCAAAUUGGACUCUAAUCUUCCUGCAGAAAGUCUUUACAGCUGUGAAAUCCUUGUCCAGAAAACUAUGGAGAAGGGGCAGACAACACCACCAUUGUUAGCGAAUCUAUAACAUGAGUCAACAGAACAAAUGCCACUCUUGAUGAACUUCCAUACAAGAACAUCUGCUAAUCUUGAUAGGA